rnacentral:rRNA from 1 species
GACAGAGGGGGCAAGCGUUGCUCGGAAUUACUGGGCGUAAAGGGCGCGUAGGCGGCCACCGCAAGUCGACUGUGAAAUCUCCGGGCUUAACCCGGAAAGGUCAGCCGAUACUGCGGGGCUAGAGUGCAGAAGGGGCAACUGGAAUUCUCGGUGUAGCGGUGAAAUGCGUAGAUAUCGAGAGGAACACCUGCGGCGAAGGCGGGUAGCUGGGCCGACACUGACGCUGAAGCGCGAAAGCCAGGGGAGCGAACGGG